UCCGGUUUGUCACCGGCAGUCUCAUUAGAGUGCCCUUUCGUAGCAACUAAUGACAAGGGUUGCGCUCGUUGCGGGACUUAACCCAACAUCUCACGACACGAGCUGACGACAGCCAUGCAGCACCUGUGUGAUGGCUCUCUUUCGAGCACCCCGCAAUCUCUUGCAGGUUCCAUCCAUGUCAAGGGUAGGUAAGGUUUUUCGCGUUGCAUCGAAUUAAUCCACAUCAUCCACCGCUUGUGCGGGUCCCCGUCAAUUCCUUUGAGUUUUAAUCUUGCGACCGUACUCCCCAGGCGGUCAACUUCACGCGUUAGCUGCGUUACCAAGUCAAUUAAGACCCGACAACUAGUUGACAUCGUUUAGGGCGUGGACUAC
rnacentral:misc_RNA from 1 species